GACGAACGCUGGCGGCGUGCUUAACACAUGCAAGUCGAACGGAAAGGCCCUGCUUUUGUGGGGUGCUCGAGUGGCGAACGGGUGAGUAACACGUGAGUAACCUGCCCUAGACUUUGGGAUAACUUCAGGAAACUGGGGCUAAUGCCGGAUAGGAGCUCCUGCUGCAUGGUGGGGGUUGGAAAGUUUCGGCGGUUGGGGAUGGACUCGCGGCUUAUCAGCUUGUUGGUGGGGUAGUGGCUUACCAAGGCUUUGACGGGUAGCCGGCCUGAGAGGGUGACCGGCCACAUUGGGACUGAGAUACGGCCCAGACUCCUACGGGAGGCAGCAGUGGGGAAUAUUGCACAAUGGGCGGAAGCCUGAUGCAGCAACGCCGCGUGCGGGAUGACGGCCUUCGGGUUGUAAACCGCUUUCGCCUGCGACGAAGCGUGAGUGACGGUAAUGGGUAAAGAAGCACCGGCUAACUACGUG
rnacentral:rRNA from 1 species